UUUAUCGACAAAUACCUGCCUAGCAGAAACGGCACAUGGCAGGUAUGGAUUAAGACUUCUCCAGAAAGGGUGAAGUCAAAGAGCAUCAGUCAGAAAGCCCACAUGCAUUGCUUCUCACACCAAUGUCUGCAGCUCCAAGUAUGAGAGGUCCACCCAUAGCAGCAACAUAAGCAUAACCACCACAAACUCUUGAACAGACAGUCAUUCUGAAUCAGAGAUUUCUUCUUCAUACUCGUCCAGUAUGUAGAUCAGGGCCCACUUUCUUGCAGCUAAAACACAAGCCACACCUCUACCUCCCAUUGCCAAAAAAAAGAUCGACUUGAUUUCAGUCCAGUAAUCCUUGAAUGUAUGGCCAUAACUAACAUGAUGUUUAGAUACCUUUGUUGGGUAAAAAUAAAAUUACAACGCAUGCAUCACACUAAAACACAGGCAGGAAGCAACCCUUAAUUGCCUAAAGAGGCUACAGCAUGCAUGUAAUUAUGAAUGCUCCACAGUAUCUUGCUACACUAGAUGCCAUGAUAGUAUCUAUGGUCAUGAACUUGUAAAUAGUGGUUCUUAGUCAGUAACUCAAGACUGCUAUGCACCUACCAUGAGAGAAUGAUUAUUCAUUUUGUAUUUGUCUGGUGACUAUUAAAUCAUUUCGCACUUCGUCCUCUCAAUUGAUUUAAAAUUUAGGGGAAAACUAAUACUUCAUUUUUUUUACUUCUUCGACUAAAAAAUAUUCUUCUUUGGAGCAUAUUUUUGCACUUCUUCAAUCUAUAGGGACAAACAUGAAGUGGUCUGUUAAAGAGGCACAGUGUACCUAUGCCAGUCACAUUUGAACUUUAAUAGAAGGUUCUAAGUGGAAAUGUAGUAAGGAGCAUGGACAGGAUUAAUUCAAUUCCAAUACCCAACCAACAAGAUAAAUUUGUUCCCGACACUGGCAAGUUUAUCAAACAUUGAUCACUAAGGAAAGAGUAUGGGCAACAAUAAGUUUCCAGACAUCCAAAACUGCAAAUGGACAUGGCAAGAAGCCGAAAGAAAAAACCUUCAGAACUAUACAAUUGAUGGCAUAGCAAUGAAUUGAUCCUUAGCUUGAUGGUAUGACAGUGUCAAAAUGUUCUUACCACCAACUGACAAGGGAGAACUACAGGACGGGGAAUGCUACAAAGCUUCUCAUUCUCCAUCUCCAGGCGUAAGAUAUGGUC
rnacentral:lncRNA from 1 species